CGAAGAAAAGAAAACAAAAAAGGGAAUGAGGCGAAAAUAGUAGGGCAAGAACAAUUGGGCCGAGAAUUUCAGCAGCUUCAAUUCUUCACCACACCUACCGGAAAUCUGCCGUCGCGAUCGUUACACCGCCGUUUCAAACUCAAGGUGGGGGAACGUUUGGGUAAGAAUAGCUUGCUUUCAUGGAUCCAGUGACUGAUGAGCAGUUAGAUUAUGGCGACGAAGAAUAUGCAGGGAAUCAGAAGAUGCAAUUUCAUCAAGGUGGAGCUAUACCUGCACUUGCGGAAGAGGAAAUGCUUGGCGAGGAUGAUGAGUAUGAUGACCUCUAUAAUGAUGUUAAUGUUGGAGAGGGUUUCCUGCAAAUGCAGCGUUCUGAGACACAAGCGCCUCCUGUGGUAGCAAAUAGUGGGUUUCAAAGUUCAAAAGCUAAUGUUCCUGGAGCUCGAGCGGAAGCGGUGGCCUUGCAAGACGUGAACAAUGAAAGAGUUGCUAAUGAAGGAAAUUAUGCUGCUGCUUCAGUUCAAUUUCAAGAUCAGAAGAAUAGCUUGCCAUCCUCUGGGGGCCAGACACAGAUCUUGGAUGCCAGUCAAAGAGGGAGGCUCCCUGAAAUGGGGAAUAAUUCUCAAGCAGCAAAUCUGGGAUAUCAAGGAUCGGAAAGUAUGCCUCAUAAGAUUGCUGCAGAUCGGUUGAACAGUUCAGAAAAAGUAAUUGGUGAGCCUGCACAGUUGAUGUAUCCUAACAUGGGUAACACAAAAGGUGUUCCACAGAUUCCACCUAAUCAGAUGAACUCUAAUGCAAAUGUUAAUGUAAACCGUUCAAUGGAUGACGAAUACAUGGUUAGGCCAUCUGUAGAAAAUGGUAAUACAAUGCUGUUUGUAGGAGAAUUACAUUGGUGGACAACUGAUUCUGAGAUUGAAAGUGUACUGAUUCAGUUUGGGAAAGUCAAGGAGAUUAAGUUUUUUGAUGAAAGGGCUAGUGGUAAGUCCAAAGGUUAUUGCCAAGUUGAAUUUUAUGAUUCUGCUGCAGCCUCGGCAUGUAAGGAAGGUAUGAAUGGUCACAUUUUUAAUGGGAGAGCUUGUGUGGUGGCAUUUGCCACUCCACAGACCAUAAGACAAAUGGGUGCUUCAUACACAAACAAGACACAGGGCCAGGCUCAGUCUCAGCCACAAGGAAGGAAUCCUGUUAAUGAUGCAGCGGGUAGAGGUAAUGGGGCCAAUUAUCCAAGUGGAGACACGGGGAGAAAUUUUGGACGAGGUGGCUGGGCACGAGGGAACCAAGCACCAAACAGGGGUCCUGGAUCAGGUCCUAUGAGAGGAAGAGGGGGUAUGGUAAACAAGAAUAUGAUGGGGAAUGCACCUGGUGCUGGUGGAGGAGCUUACGGACAAGGGAUUGCUGGCCCUGGUUUCAGUGGGCCUCCUGGUAUGAUGCCUCCUCAGGGCAUGAUGGGUCCUGGUUUUGACCUAGCAUUUAUGGGUCGCGGAGCUGGAUAUGGAGGCUUCUCGGGUCCUGGUGGUUUCCCAGGAAUGAUUCCUCCAUUUCAAGCUGUCAAUUCCAUGGGGCUUCCUGGAGUGGCUCCUCAUGUCAACCCAGCUUUUUUUGGUCGAGGAAUGAAUCCCAAUGGAAUGAGCAUGAUGGGGACUGCAGGAAUGGUUGGACCUCAUUCAGGAAUGUGGAAUGACACAAAUAUGGGUGGUUGGGGAGGUGAAGAACAUGGCAGAGAGUCUAGUUAUGGUGGAGAGGAUAAUGCAUCAGAAUAUGGGUAUGCCGAGGCUAGUCAUGAGAAAGGUGUAAGGUCUAGUGCUGCUUCCCGGGAGAAGGAGAGAAAUUCUGAUCAUGACUGGUCCAGUGCUCCAGAGAAGCGGCAUAGGGAGGAGAGAGAACAUGAUGGGGAUAGAUAUGACAGGGACUCUAGACGCAGAGAAGAGAAGGAUCGUUAUCGAGACUAUCGCCACAAAGAUCGUGAAUCGGGUUAUGAUGAUGACUGGGAUAAAGGACAGUCUUCGAGAUCCCGCAGCAGAUCUGGUGCAAUGCCUGAAGAUGAUCACAGGUCUCGAUCUAGGGAUGCUGAUUAUGGGAAACGGAGACGCAUGCCAUCUGAAUGAUGUGAUGUCAUGAGACUUCUGAAUGUCUGACUGCUUCCACUAUGAUUCGCAAUGUCAUACUUGAAUCCUAUGAAGGAUUGCCAGCUCUUUCUUGUUUAUGUUGGUGUCAUGUGCUGUGUGGCCUCCGGCUUCAAUGAAGACCAUUAAUUGCUGCACUCUUGGAUAUCCGUGAAUGCUUUAUACUAUGAGUGCAAAGAAGCCUUAAUCAUGUAUGCAAUUGCUUUGAUCCUCGAAGAAUUUGUGUGAAAAGUAACUUAUUGAGGAAUAUUUUUGAGCAAAACCUGGAUGAUGCACUGUAGUUUCAUUAGUAUAUUCCAUGUAGUAGGUUCCACGUGUAAUAAUUUGAUCUGAUAUCAGCACCUCCGUCCUCUUUAAGAUUGUAAAAGUGAUGUACAAUUUAUAGACCAUGUCUUCUGGUCGUGUAUGAUUAGGUUGUGGUCUUGAGUUGCAACACAUGUAAGCUGCAUCAUAGAUGCAUGUGUAUAGAAAUGUGAAAUGUUGCGGUAGCAGAAUAGUUGUGUGUCUGUAAAUGCAGCUAAUCUCCUGUAAGCUUAGUUGAGCUGUGUCUGUAAAUGCAGUGUAUCUUCUGUAAGCUUAAUUGAGUUGCGUCUGUAAAUGCAGUGUCUCCCCUGUAAGCUUAAUCGUGCCGUGUCUGUAAAUGCAGUGUAUCUCGUGUAAACUUAAUUUUAUGUGAUACCGUCUGUCUUCAUAUUGAGCAGACAUGGUAGUUCUUUUUCUCA